rnacentral:rRNA from 1 species
GACAGCAGUCGCCGCGGUAAUACGGAGGGUGCAAGCGUUAAUCGGAAUUACUGGGCGUAAAGCGUGCGUAGGCGGUUCGUUAAGUCUGUUGUGAAAGCCCCGGGCUCAACCUGGGAAUGGCAAUGGAUACUGGCGAGCUAGAGUGUGUCAGAGGAUGGUGGAAUUCCCGGUGUAGCGGUGAAAUGCGUAGAGAUCGGGAGGAACAUCAGUGGCGAAGGCGGCCAUCUGGGACAACACUGACGCUGAGGCACGAAAGCGUGGGGAGCAAACAGGAUUAGAUACCCCUGUAGUCCCUGUCUCUUAUAC